AUCGCUUCUCGGCCUUUUGGCUAAGAUCAAGUGUAAUAGUAGCAAUGUUAUUCAUAUGAAAUUGUGCCAUAAUGUUACUUUUUCUCUGUUUGCAGUUUGUAGUACCACCAUCUAACCAAU
rnacentral:snRNA from 1 species